rnacentral:rRNA from 1 species
AGGCAGCAGUGGGGAAUAUUGCACAAUGGGCGCAAGCCUGAUGCAGCGACGCCGCGUGCGGGAUGGAGGCCUUCGGGUUGUAAACCGCUUUUGUUCAAGGGCAAGGCAAGCUUUCGGGCCUGUUGAGUGGAUUGUUCGAAUAAGCACCGGCUAACUACGUGCC